rnacentral:lncRNA from 1 species
GAAGGCAAAUUUAACCAUAAUAUUUAUGAUGUCUCAUAUGUUGUUGGUGAAUGAGUUGUUUUAAGUGAGGAUAGAUAAUACCAAACAAAGUACUUGUUGAUUAUGAUUAUAGCAAAAUAAUGGUAUAUUGUUAAAUACAUAAAUUUCUUUAGUUGAAAAUGAUGAUUAUUCCCAUAAUAAUCUUUUUGUUAGUCAGGUAUGACAUU